rnacentral:lncRNA from 1 species
AACAAGGCUCCCUCAGCUUAGUGAGGCAAGGGCGCCUUCUUCAGAAAGCCCUGAAGGGUUUUUUUUUGGGGGGGGGCAAAAAACAAAACAAGAGAAAUUCCCAGGAGGGCAGAGACUUGGUUUAUUAAGCUAUGGGGCCAAAGAAAGAAUCCUGACAAGAAGGAUGGGAAUUGUGUUCCACACUGGGAUUCCGCCCUCAAACCCACGCCAUCCAUCUCUUUUCAAACCUUUGGGGGAGGAAAGACCCUAUUUCUUCUUAAGAGCAUUUAAAAUCCUCCAACAAAGUAAAGUUUACUUGGCAAAGCAAA